AAGUCGUAACAAGGUUUCCGUAGGUGAACCUGCGGAAGGAUCAUUAUUGAAAACAAGGGUGUCCAAUUUAACUUGGAACCCGACCUUCUCAAUUCUAACUUUGUGCAUCUGUAUAACGGCGAGCAGUCUUCGGAUUGUGAGCCUUCACUUAUAAACACUAGUCUAUGAAUGUAAAUUUUUUAUAACAAAUAAAAACUUUCAACAACGGAUCUCUUGGCUCUC
rnacentral:misc_RNA from 1 species